AUGCCCCACCUUGUAGCUAAGAUAAUGAUGCCACAAAACCUGAUGUUACAUUGUUGUCAUGCUGCUACCUCCUACAUCAAUCCAAAACUAUUCUACAGCCUGCUUCAUACCCUUCUGCUCUGCACCAUACAGCAGUUCACAAAACCCUUUGCUCAGCUUGCAAGUCUGCAUCAAACUUGUCCAACAAUUACACAAAAGAUGUCAAACAUAAAGUGCAUUAGAAAGUGCUAA